UACGGGGGGGGUAAGCGUUGUUCGGAAUUACUGGGCGUAAAGGGCUCGUAGGCGGCCAACUAAGUCAUACGUGAAAUCCCUCAGCUUAACUGGGGAACUGCGUGUGAUACUGGAUGGCUUGGAUUUGGGAGAGGGAUGCGGAAUUCCAGGUGUAGCGGUGAAAUGCGUAGAUAUCUGGAGGAACACCGGUGGCGAAGGCGGCAUCCUGGACCAAUAUUGACGCUGAGGGGCGAAAGCCAGGGGAGCAAACGGG
rnacentral:rRNA from 1 species